AUUGUUUUCAUUUAGCCAACAAUGUUUGUUCUAACUUGUUUGUAAAUAUUUAUUUUAAUCAUUUCCCUUAAGUGCCAACAAAACGUGAUUAAUUUGGCAUUAAAACAAAUUUGUUUGGUUAGUUAGGUCAUUUAGCCAACAACAAAUCCAAUGGAGAAUAACCAGUCCAAUGUUUCAAGAUCGUCCAUCAAAAAUUGCUCCAGAGCCCAUAACAUCAAUAAGGCAUUGAAACUGAGUUCCCUUAAAUCUUUUCCAAAAAAAGAAAAUAAAAAAUUCAAAAAGCAUUUCUGGUUGAAUGCCAAUUGCGCAGUUAAUUUCUAAUCAAUAUCAAUAAAAAAAAAAUGCAUUAAUUUCUGA